UGUAAGCGUAUACCAAAGUUGUUGCAGUUAAAACGCUCGUAGUCGGAAUUUGGCAGUUCCGGAUGUGUGCACGUCGUGUGCGCACUUCGCGGGGAUUGCUUUUGUGGUCUUGCGUAGGAUGAGGCACUUUUAUUAGUGAACGUCCUCACGCAACCACUUUUUACUGUGAGAAAAUCAGAGUGCUCAAAGCAGGCAUUUGCCGUGAAUGUAUUAGCAUGGAAUAAUAGAAUAGGACUUGGUUCUAUUUUGUUGGUUUGUUGGGACUGAGUAAUGAUUAAGAGGGACAGUUGGGGGCAUUUGUAUUUCGGUGCUAGAGGUGAAAUUCUUGGAUUUACGAAAGACGAACUACUGCGAAAGCAUUUGCCAAGAAUGUUUUCAUUAA
rnacentral:rRNA from 1 species